CAGGGAGACAAAACUGAUUAUGAUGUCUGAUUUUUUUUAGGCCUUAAUCCUGUCACCUUAGGUCGAUCGGUACCUCAGGUUUGCCAAUUAUUAAUUGUGCAGAUUUUAGUUCCUAAACUUGUCUAGGUCACACCCAACAAACUUUCUCCUGGGCUAUUAGCUCAGGCGGUUAGAGCGCACCCCUGAUAAGGGUGAGGUCCCUGGUUCAAGUCCAGGAUGGCCCAUUCGUUGUUGGGGGUAUAGCUCAGUUGGUAGAGCGCCUGCUUUGCAAGCAGGAUGUCAGCGGUUCGAGUCCGCUUACCUCCACUGAUCAACUACCUGAUAACUCAAAUUGGAGAUUGUCGUUUGUUUAAUGUGAUUUAGAUGUUGUUCAACUGAAGGAACCCAGCUUCCUAUCACUCCUUUUAGGCUGAUAAGACGCUGGGCUCAUUGGUAUUCAAUGGAAUAUCAUUUAGCUUCAGCAGAACCUUGACAACUGCAUAGGAAAGUCUGGAAAAAAAGCAUCUUGAUAGAUGCGUAGAGAAUCUAUUUGUUCAAAAUUUUUGAAUUUGUUUUGUUCUCUAUGAUCAAUUCUUGAGUUAGAGCUGAGUUUCUAUAGCUUAUUUUUAAUUGAUUAAGUCAUUAAUUAUUUAUUGGUAAGUUUAUAGAUUUUGAAU
rnacentral:tRNA from 1 species